rnacentral:rRNA from 1 species
UUUCCAGACUCCUACGGGAGGCAGCAGUGGGGAAUAUUGCACAAUGGGGGAAACCCUGAUGCAGCGACGCCGCGUGAAGGAAGAAGUAUCUCGGUAUGUAAACUUCUAUCAGCAGGGAAGAAAACAGACGGUACCUGACUAAGAAGCCCCGGCUAACUACGUGCCAGCAGCCGCGGUAAUACGUAGGGGGCAAGCGUUAUCCGGAUUUACUGGGUGUAAAGGGGGCGCAGACGGCCAUGGCAAGCCCGAUGUGAAAGCCCGGGGCUCAACCCCGGGACUGCAUUGGGAACUGGCGUGCUGGAGUGCCGGAGGGGCAGGCGGAAUUCCUGGUGUAGCGGUGAAAUGCGUAGAUAUCAGGAGGAACACCGGUGGCGAAGGCGGCCUGCUGGACGGAUACUGACGCUGAGGCCCGAAAGCGUGGGGAGCGAACAGGAUUAGAUACCCCCGUAA